rnacentral:lncRNA from 1 species
ACAAAUAUAGAUACCAAAUUAAUGGUUUAUUAGACAUAAUAUUGAGUACAAAAAUUGGUUAUUUCUAUAAUGAAGAUGAGGACAAUGAAAGGUGCUCAUUUCAGCCGUAUAUAGAUCCACUUAUAUAUGAGGGGUAUUGUCACUUUCACUUCACUUGAAUUGAGUCUAGUUCGUUAGUAUCUUCAUUUACGCUACUGGUUGAUUUUGGAAGGGGAAAAAAAACACCAAAAGGAGGAGCUAUUUAGAAUUGGAAAUAAAGUUAAUUUACUUAGAGAAAAGUGGAAUAUAUACAUUGUAAGUUUCGUAUAAUAGAAUGUUGUUUUAAAGAUGUGGGAAGUGGCAAAGCAUGAGC